rnacentral:rRNA from 1 species
GGUGCCCGUACCGCAAACCGACACAGGUAGGUAGGAAGAAGAUUCUAAGGCCAACGGGAGAAGGGUUGUUAAGGAACUCGGCAAAUUGACCCCGUAACUUCGGGAGAAGGGGUGCUCCAGAGAUGGAGCCGCAGAGAAUCGGCCCAAGCAACUGUUUACCAAAAACACAGGUUUGUGCUAAAUCGAAAGAUGACGUAUACGAGCUGACGCCUGCCCGGUGCUGGAAGGUUAAGAGGAGAUGUGCAAGCAUUGAAUCGAAGCCCCAGUGAACGGCGGCCGUAACUAUAACGGUCCUAAGGUAGCGAAAUUCCUUGUCAGGUAAGUUCUGACCCGCAUGAAAGGCGUAAUGAUUUGGGCACUGUCUCAACAGCCCGCCCGGCGAAAUUGUAGUACCGGUGAAGAUGCCGGUUACCCGCGACAAGACGGAAAGACCCCAUGGAGCUUUACUGUAGCCUAAUAUUGGGUUUCGAUGUUGCAUGCACAGGAUAGAUGGGACACAGGGAAGCAGGUGCUUUGGCGCUUGUGGAGUGGCCGUUGGGAUACCAUCCUUGCGAUAUUGGAAUUCUAACCUGCGCCUUUGAAUCAAGGCGGGGGACAUUGUUAGGUGGGCAGUUUGACUGGGGCGGUCGCCUCCUAAAGAGUAACGGAGGCGUUCAAAGGUUCGCUCAGCUUGAACGGAAAUCAAGCAAAAGAGUGCAAACGCAGAAGCGAGCCUAACUGCGAGACUGACGGGUCGAGCAGUAACGAAAGUUGGAGUUAGUGAUCCGGUGGUAUGUGAGUGGAAAUGCCAUCGCUCAACGGAUAAAAGUUACCCUGGGGAUAACAGGCUGAUCUCCCCCAAGAGUCCACAUCGACGGGGAGGUUUGGCACCUCGAUGUCGGCUCAUCGCAUCCUGGGGCUGUAUUCGGUCCCAAGGGUUUGGCUGUUCGCCAAUUAAAGCGGUACGCGAGCUGGGUUCAGAACGUCGUGAGACAGUUCGGUCCCUAUCUGUCGUGGGCGCAGGAUAUUUGAUGGGAGCUGUUCCUAGUACGAGAGGACCGGAGCGGACGUACCUCUGGCGCACCAGUUGUUCUGCCAAGAGCAUAGCUGGGCAACUAUGUACGGAUCGGAUAAACGCUGAAAGCAUCUAAGCGUGAAGCCGACCCAAAGAUAAGAUAUCCCAUUGUUU